CAGUCCCAAAAAAUGUAUUUUUUGCUUGAUGCUCUGACUUAUGUUCUUAUGUACGAACUGCUUUGGUAAUAGGCCUUGAUUGGAGCAGUAGCAUUGUUUAGAUUUAGUAAUAUGUCAGAUUUAGUAAUAGGCCAUGAUUGGCUGGAUAUAUGUAAAUUGCCCUUAUGAAUGUCAUAUGUUAUAGAUGUCAAAAGCUAAUUGGAGUCCAGAAAUGACCACCAUUUUUUGCAAUCUCGCUGCUAAGGAGAAGGAAAAGGGGAAUAUGCCUCUCAAAUUUUUGAACCCUACUGGAUACAAGAAUGUAGAAGUUGGCUUCUUUGAGCAGACCGAAAAACAUUACAGUAGGUUGUAGUUCAAAAAUAAAUGGGGCAGUUUGAGUACCUUGUAUAGGGAUUGGCUGAUCCUAAAGAAUACAUCUACUGGACUUGGCUGGAAUGAUGAAAUGAACACCGUGAUUGCUAAUGAUGAAUGGUGGAAGAAGGCCGGUGAAGAAAACAAGUACAUCUUGUAGUUUCGUAAAUGUUGUCCUGAAAAAAUCUGAACCAAAUGAGCAUCAUGUAUGAGAAGAUCAAUGUUACGGGAGAAACUUCUAUGAUGCCAGGUUGUGAGCAUGAAGUGCUUGAUCUUGAAGAAGAUGAAACUGAGGAGGAAGAAGUGCAGACUACCCAAGCCAAGAAGGCAAAGAAGGGGCCAUGGAAGAUAGAUGGAAGCUCUAGUAAAAAGAAUCAUGUUCAAAGGGACUUCAAGCACAUGGUUGACCACUUGAUUAGUGAAGAUGUUGCGAUGAACUCACAUAAGAAUAGUGUUGCUAUUGAAAUUGAAAAGAUUAUGGAAGAAGUUCUGGCAUGUGGAGCCGAUGAAACAAGUGAUGAGUACUUCAUAGCAACCAAGUUGUUUGCGAAGUUUGAAAAUCGUUGUUUCUUUAACAAUAUGAAGACUAGUGAAGGGAAGAAGAAUUGGCUUAGGAGGAUGUAUGAAGAGUGAAAUAGGCAUUAGGAUUACACAUUAGACGUGUGAUGAAACAAGUGAUGAGUACUUCAUAGCAACCAAGUUGUUUGCGAAGUUUGAAAAUCGUUCUUUCUUUAACAAUAUGAAGACUAGCGAAGGGAAGAAGAAUUGGCUUAGGAGGAUGUAUGAAGAGUGAAAUAGGCAUUAGGAUUACACUUUAGACGUGUGAUCAUGAAUAUGUUAUUCCCUUCCUUUAUGUUAUGUCGCUUGAUACUUGUUGAACUAUAUUUUCUUUCUUGUUAUGUCACUUGAGACCUAAUGAACAAUAUUUCCCUUCAUGUUUUGUCACUUUA